rnacentral:rRNA from 1 species
AGUGAACGCUGGCGGUAGGCCUAACACAUGCAAGUCGAACGGCAGCACAGUAAGAGCUUGCUCUUACGGGUGGCGAGUGGCGGACGGGUGAGGAAUACAUCGGAAUCUACUUUUUCGUGGGGGAUAACGUAGGGAAACUUACGCUAAUACCGCAUACGACCUACGGGUGAAAGCAGGGGAUCUUCGGACCUUGCGCGAUUGAAUGAGCCGAUGUCGGAUUAGCUAGUUGGCGGGGUAAAGGCCCACCAAGGCGACGAUCCGUAGCUGGUCUGAGAGGAUGAUCAGCCACACUGGAACUGAGACACGGUCCAGACUCCUACGGGAGGCAGCAGUGGGGAAUAUUGGACAAUGGGCGCAAGCCUGAUCCAGUCAUACCGCGUGGGUGAAGAAGGCCUUCGGGUUGUAAAGCCCUUUUGUUGGGAAAGAAAAGCAGCAGGUUAAUACCCCGCUGUUCUGACGGUACCCAAAGAAUAAGCAUCGGCUAACUUCGUG